rnacentral:rRNA from 1 species
AUUGAACGCUGGCGGCAGGCCUAACACAUGCAAGUCGAGCGGAUGACGGGAGCUUGCUCCUUGAUUCAGCGGCGGACGGGUGAGUAAUGCCUAGGAAUCUGCCUGGUAGUGGGGGACAACGUUUCGAAAGGAACGCUAAUACCGCAUACGUCGUACGGGAGAACGCAGGGGACCUUCGGGCCUUGCGCUAUCAGAUGAGCCUAGGUCGGAUUAGCUAGUUGGUGGGGUAAUGGUUCACCAAGGCGACGAUCCGUAACUGGUCGGAGAGGAUGAUCAGUCACACUGGAACUGAGACACGGUCCAGACUCCUACGGGAGGCAGCAGUGGGGAAUAUUGGACAAUGGGCGAAAGCCUGAUCCAGCCAUGCCGCGUGUGUGAAGAAGGUCUUCGGAUUUUAAAGCAUUUUAAGUUGGGAGGAAGGGCAGUAAGUUAAUACCUUGCUGUUUUGACGUUACCGACUGAAUAAGCACCGGCUAACUCUGUGCCAGCAGCCGCGGUAA